rnacentral:rRNA from 1 species
AUACGUAGGGUGCGAGCGUUGUCCGGAAUUACUGGGCGUAAAGAGCUCGUGGGUGGUUUGUCGCGUCGUCUGUGAAAUUCCGGGGCUUAACUCCGGGCGUGCAGGCGACACGGGCAUAACUUGAGUACUGUAGGGGAGACUGGAAUUCCUGGUGUAGCGGUGAAAUGCGCAGAUAUCAGGAGGAACCCCGGUGGCGAAGGCGGGUCUCUGGGCAGUAACUGACGCUGAGGAGCGAAAGCAUGGGUAGCGAACAGGAUUAGAUACCCUGGUAGUCCAUGCCGUAAACGGUGGGCGCUAGGUGUAGGGGUCUUCCACGACUUCUGUGCCGUAGCUAACGCAUUAAGCGCCCCGCCUGGGGAGUACGGCCGCAAGGCUAAAACUCAAAUGAAUUGACGGGG